AGACAUGCUCUACAAUUUUAAUGUUUUGAGUGUUUUCUGAUCGUUCUUAAUAGACCAAACCCUAAUUUGCAUUUCACAACUGGAAUAAAAUUUGACAAAGGAAAAAAAAAGCGCCAGCAUUCAAUAUACGAAUCCCACUACCCAGAUUAAAUUAUUAAAAAAUAAAUAAAAAUAAAAAAUUCCCGCUUAGAUAGUUCUCCCAAAC
rnacentral:lncRNA from 1 species